rnacentral:rRNA from 1 species
GCGAGGCAGAGCACAGGGAUUGCCUUAGUAACGGCGAGUGAAGCGGCAAAAGCUCAGAUUUGAAAGCUAGCAUUUUUGAUGUUCGCAUUGUAAUCUGUAGAGGAGUGUUCAAGCAUGGCUUUGACUCAAGUUCUUUGGAACAGGACGUCAUGGAGGGUGAGAAUCCCGUUCAUGGUCUUUGUCUUAUGUUUAUGUGAACCUCCUUCAAUGAGUCGAGUUGUUUGGGAAUGCAGCUCUAAAUGGGUGGUAUAUUUCAUCUAAAGCUAAAUAUCAGCAGGAGACCGAUAGUGCACAAGUAGAGUGAUCGAAAGAUGAAAAGAACUUUGGAAAGAGAGUCAAAUAGUACGUGAAAUUGUUGAAAGGGAAGCACUUACACCCAGACUUGUUUACAAUUGAUCAGUUAUCAUUUUUUGAUGGUGCACUUAGUUGUAGGCAGGCCAGUAUCAGUUAGAGUGGUGGGGCAAAGGUGUUGAGAAUGUAGCUCCCUUGGGAGUGUUAUAGCUCUUCAUGUCAUAUCAUCUGCUCUAACUGAGGUUCGCACUUUAGUGAGGAUGCUGGCAUAAUGGGUGCAAGUGACCCGUCUUGAAACACGGACCAAGGAGUCUAACAGUUGUGCGAGUGUUUGGGUAGAAAACCCUUAUGCAUAAUGAAAGUAAAUGGAGGUGAGAACCGCAAGGUGCAUCAUCGACCGAUCCUGAUGUCUUCAGAUGGAUUUGAGUAAGAGCAUAGCUGUUGGGACCCGAAAGAUGGUGAACUAUGCCUGAAUAGGGUGAAGCCAGAGGAAACUCUGGUGGAGGCUCGCAGCGGUUCUGACGUGCAAAUCGAUCGUCAAAUUUGGGUAUAGGGGCGAAAGACUAAUCGAACCUCUAGAGUGUCCGCCCCCCCC